rnacentral:tRNA from 1 species
GGGAAUGUGGCUUAGUGGUAGAGCGCUUGCCUAGCAUGCAUGAAGCCCUGGGUUCGAUUCCUUAGUACCA